rnacentral:misc_RNA from 1 species
AACGCACAUUGCGCCCCUCGGUAUUCCGGGGGGCAUGCCUGUUCGAGCGUCAUUAUCGACCAUCAAGCACUGCUUGGCAUUGGGCUUCCGUCCCCGCAGCGGACGGGCCCUAAAGACCUCGGCGGCGGCGCAGUGGCCUCAAGCGUAGUAGAAAACUAUCCCGCUUUACAGAGGCCUCGCGACGCCCGCUCCGAAAACCCCCAACAUUCUAAAAGGUUGACCUCGGAUCAGGUAGGGAUACCCGCUGAACUUAA